UACGAAGGGGGCUAGCGUUGCUCGGAAUCACUGGGCGUAAAGCGCACGUAGGCGGCUUUUUAAGUCAGGGGUGAAAUCCUGGAGCUCAACUCCAGAACUGCCUUUGAUACUGAGAAGCUUGAGUCCGGGAGAGGUGAGUGGAACUGCGAGUGUAGAGGUGAAAUUCGUAGAUAUUCGCAAGAACACCGGUGGCGAAGGCGGAUCUCUGGGCCUUACCUGACGCUCAGGCGCGAAAGCUAGGGGAGCGAACAGG
rnacentral:rRNA from 1 species